GCUGACGAGUCCCGAAUGGGACGAAACGCGCGUCC
rnacentral:hammerhead_ribozyme from 1 species